rnacentral:rRNA from 1 species
CCUACGGGAGACAGCAGUGGGGGAUAUUGCACAAUGGGGGGAACCCUGAUGCAGCGACGCCGCGUGGGUGAAGGAGUGCUUCGGCACGUAAAGCCCUAUCGGCAGGGAAGAAGCAAGACGGUACCUGACUAAGAAGCCCCGGCUAACUCCGGGCCAGCAGCCGCGGCAAUACGGAGGGGGCGAGCGUUAUCCGGAUGCACUGGGUGUAAGGGGAGCGUAGACGGCCAGGCAAGCCAGGGGUGAAAGCCCGGGGCCCAACCCCGGGACUGCCCUUGGAACUGCAAGGCUGGAGUGCGGGAGGGGCAGGCGGAAUUCCUGGUGUAGCGGUGAAAUGCGUAGAUAGCAGGAGGAACACCAGCGGCGAAGGCGGCCUGCUGGACCGCGACUGACGUUGAGGCGCGAAAGCGUGGGGAGCGAACAGGAUUAGAUACCCUAGUAGUC